AGGGGACCAAAGAGAUAUAUAGAUAUCAGCUACCUAUAUACCUGUUCGGUCUCUUUA
rnacentral:pre_miRNA from 1 species